rnacentral:lncRNA from 1 species
AAUGGACCUAUGCUUGACCAUCAACUCUGACAUCGAUAAGUAGAUUAGGAGGCAUCUUCUCUUUCCUGAGCUCGCUUUGUCUGCUUCAGAGUGAAAAAAGAAGUGGACAUUUAUUAAUGAGGUCGAAAGGGUUUAAGAUUUAAGGUUUAAGGUAAUUAUUGUUCAUGAUUUGUUAUUUAUAUUUGUGGUGGGUUUAUAAGCUUUUAUAAAUGAUUGAUAAAAGUUAGUUUAAUUUUGAGAAUUCAGUCAAAAAAAACCUCAAUUUUGCACGAAUUGCCAAAAGAAACAUGAACUUUUGGGCUGACCAAAAAAAUACCGAACUUUCAUUGACUUUAGAAUUAAUUAACAAUGUUUUCGCUGACUUGCCAAUUUAACACGCCGUCAAUAAAUUUAACAGAAAUAUUUGAAGUCG